GACGAACGCUGGCGGCGUGCUUAACACAUGCAAGUCGAACGGAAAGGCCCUGCUUGCAGGGUGCUCGAGUGGCGAACGGGUGAGUAACACGUGGGUGAUCUGCCCCUUACUUUGGGAUAAGCCUGGGAAACUGGGUCUAAUACUGGAUAGGACCAUGCUGUAGGUGGUGUGGUGGAAAGAUUAGUUUCGGUAAGGGAUGAGCUCGCGGCCUAUCAGCUUGUUGGUGGGGUAAUGGCCUACCAAGGCGUCGACGGGUAGCCGGCCUGAGAGGGUGGACGGCUACAUUGGGACUGAGAUACGGCCCAGACUCCUACGGGAGGCAGCAGUGGGGAAUAUUGCACAAUGGGCACAAGCCUGAUGCAGCGACGCCGCGUGGGGGAUGACGGCCUUCGGGUUGUAAACUCCUUUCAGCCAUGACGAAGCCCUUGUGGUGACGGUAGUGGUAGAAGAAGCACCGGCUAACUACGUG
rnacentral:rRNA from 1 species